AUACGAAGGGGGCUAGCGUUGUUCGGAUUUACUGGGCGUAAAGCGCACGUAGGCGGAUUGAUUAGUUAGGGGUGAAAUCCCGAGGCUCAACCUCGGAACUGCCUUUAAUACUGUCAAUCUCGAGACCGGAAGAGGUGAGUGGAACUCCUAGUGUAGAGGUGGAAUUCGUAGAUAUUAGGAAGAACACUAGUGGCGAAGGCGGCUCACUGGUCCGGUACUGACGCUGAGGUGCGAAAGCGUGGGGAGCGAACAGGAUUAGAAACCCUAGUAGUCC
rnacentral:rRNA from 1 species